GCCUGGGUGGCUCAGUUGGUUAAGUGUCUGACUUCGACUCAGGUCACUAUCUCGCAGUUUGUGAGUUCGAGCCCCGCAUUAGGCU
rnacentral:tRNA from 1 species